rnacentral:tmRNA from 1 species
GGGGAUGUAACGGUUUCGACGGGGGUGUGGAGGCAGGAAUAGCGGGCGGAUGCGCCUACCAUCCUUAAAAUGGGCAGCUUUUAUAAAUUAAAGAACAACAACGAUUCUGUUCUUCUCGCUGCUUAAUUAGCGAGCGUUCCACCCGGGAGUACCACGGCCCGGGAUGGGGCGUCGAUCAGUGGUGAACGUGCGCCGGCAAAGCUUUGCGCCGGCCAUGCAUGAUGAAGCUACCAAGUCCCUGAGGGUGACGGCUCUCGCCCGGACAAGGGAAUGUAAAUAACCGUCUGCGCCCGGAGAAGUUCCUGUUAAAACGCUUUCGGACGGGGGUUCAACUCCCCCCAUCUCCACCA